rnacentral:rRNA from 1 species
CUAAGUGAUCUAUCCAUGGCCAAGUUGAAACGCGUGUAAUAGCGCGUGGAGGACUGAACUCGUACCCAUUGAAACGGGUUGGGAUGAGCUGUGGAUAGGGGUGAAAGGCCAAACAAACUUAGUGAUAGCUGGUUCUCUUCGAAAUAUAUUUAGGUAUAGCCUCAAGUGAUAAUAAAAGGGGGUAGAGCCCUGAUUGGGCUAGGGCUGCUCGCCGCGGUACCAAACCCUAUCAAACUUCAAAUACCUUUUAUCGUAUCUUGGGAGUCAGGCGGUGGGUGAUAAAAUCAAUCGUCAAAAGGGGAACAACCCAGACUACCAAAUAAGGUCCCUAAGUUCUAUUCUGAGUGGAAAAAGAUGUGUGGCUACUCAAACAACCAGGAGGUUGGCUUAGAAGCAGCCAUCCUUUAAAGAAAGCGUAACAGCUCACUGGUCUAGUGGUCAUGCGCUGAAAAUAUAACGGGGCUAAGAUAGACACCGAAUUUGUAGAUUGUGUUAAACACAGUGGUAGAAGAGCGUUCAUACCAGCGUUGAAGGUAUACCGGUAAGGAGUGCUGGAGCGGUAUGAAGUGAGCAUGCAGGAAUGAGUAACGAUAAGAUAUAUGAGAAUUGUAUCCGCCGUAAAUCUAAGGUUUCCUACGCGAUGGUCGUCAUCGUAGGGUUAGUCGGGUCCUAAGCCGAGUCCGAAAGGGGUAGGUGAUGGCAAAUUGGUUAAUAUUCCAAUACCGACUUAUGGAGCGUGAUGGGGGGACGCAUAGGGUUAAGCGAGCUAGCUGAUGGAAUAGCUAGUCUAAGGGCGUAGAUUGGAGGGAAGGCAAAUCCACCUCUGUAUUUGAAACCCAAACAGGCUCUUUGAGUCCUUUCAGGACAAAGGGAGAAUCGCUGAUACCGUCGUGCCAAGAAAAGCCUCUAAGCAUAUCCAUAGUCGUCCGUACCGCAAACCGACACAGGUAGAUGAGAUGAGUAUUCUAAGGCGCGUGAAAGAACUCUGGUUAAGGAACUCUGCAAACUAGCACCGUAAGUUCGCGAUAAGGUGUGCCGCAGCAAUGCGGUCUCAGCAAAGAGUCCCUCCCGACUGUUUACCAAAAACACAGCACUUUGCCAACUCGUAAGAGGAAGUAUAAGGUGUGACGCCUGCCCGGUGCUCGAAGGUUAAGAGGAUGCGUCAGUCGCAAGAUGAAGCGUUGAAUUGAAGCCCGAGUAAACGGCGGCCGUAACUAUAACGGUCCUAAGGUAGCGAAAUUCCUUGUCGGUUAAAUACCGACCUGCAUGAAUGGCGUAACGAGAUGGGAGCUGUCUCAACCAGAGAUUCAGUGAAAUUGUAGUGGAGGUGAAAAUUCCUCCUACCCGCGGCAAGACGGAAAGACCCCGUGGACCUUUACUACAACUUAGCACUGCUAACGGGAAUAUCAUGCGCAGGAUAGGUGGGAGGCUUUGAAGUAAGGGCUUUGGCUCUUAUGGAGCCAUCCUUGAGAUACCACCCUUGAUGUUUCUGUUAGCUAACUGGCCUGUGUUAUCCACGGGCAGGACAAUGCUUGGUGGGUAGUUUGACUGGGGCGGUCGCCUCCUAAAAAGUAACGGAGGCUUGCAAAGGUUGGCUCAUUGCGGUUGGAAAUCGCAAGUUGAGUGUAAUGGCACAAGCCAGCCUGACUGUGAGACAUACAAGUCAAGCAGAGACGAAAGUCGGUCAUAGUGAUCCGGUGGUUCUGUGUGGAAGGGCCAUCGCUCAAAGGAUAAAAGGUACCCCGGGGAUAACAGGCUGAUCUCCCCCAAGAGCUCACAUCGACGGGGAGGUUUGGCACCUCGAUGUCGGCUCAUCGCAUCCUGGGGCUGGAGCAGGUCCCAAGGGUAUGGCUGUUCGCCAUUUAAAGCGGUACGCGAGCUGGGUUCAGAACGUCGUGAGACAGUUCGGUCCCUAUCUGCCGUGGGCGUAGGAAAGUUGAGGAGAGCUGUCCCUAGUACGAGAGGACCGGGAUGGACGUGUCACUGGUGCACCAGUUGUUCUGCCAAGAGCAUCGCUGGGUAGCUACACACGGAUGUGAUAACUGCUGAAAGCAUCUAAGCAGGAAGCCAACUCCAAGAUAAACUUUCCCUGAAGCUCGCACAAAGACUAUGUGCUUGAUAGGGUAGAUGUGUAAGCACAGUAAUGCGUUUAGCUGACUACUACUAAUAGAGCGUUUGGCUUGUUUUU